rnacentral:ncRNA from 1 species
UCCCCCGCUUUUCCUCCCUGAGCGGGAGCCUUGAUGUGUGACAGCAGACAGGCUUUUCAACCCCGGCCGCUGGCCGGGGUUUUUUAU